UCCCGUGAUAGCUGUUAGCUCGGCCAGGUAGCGAUUUCUCGUCUCUUAUUUAUCAAAGUUCCUGAACAUAUGCGAGUUUAUCAACUUCUAUAAAAGGUGAAGGUCAUCGUAGAAGACAAAUGCCCCCCCCCCCAAAUGGCUUCUUGAAGGUUCGAUGUCGAAGAAGAGCUUGGAGUCGCUCAUGUUGUGUGGCGCCAUGGAUUCCUUCUUUCCUCCCGGUGCCAUCUCCCUCGGAGCUUCAUGCAUCAGGCAGGUCGUGGCGAGGCUGCGGCGGAAGGUUUCCAACUGUGGUCCACCAGUGGGCGCCCCCACUGUGUCUUCACCAAGCCUCAUCUCUUGGACCAGGCAUCAUGAAGCUCAGCGUUUCCUGGGUCACCUGAGCUAUGACGCCUCACUCCUGCUGGUCCAGUCAGUGUUGUGUCUGACAGCAGCUCCUGAAGUCAGGUCACCGUGGAAGCUGACCACUUGUGGCCUCAGGUAUCAAGUACCAGGAGGGUGACUUCAGCCAGAUGCACCCAGGGAGUCACUGGUGAACCACAGAGCUCGUGCUGUGUGUAGAACAGUGGCAGGAUCCACUGAGCGUCAGUGGGACAGGAAGCAGAUCGACCAGAUGGGUGUCCUGCAAGAGACAGAAUCAAUCAUCAGGCUUGAAGACCUGCAAAAUCAAGAUGUGAUUCAACUUGCAAAGAAACUCACCUGAAGCUGCAGAUCCUCACACUUGUGUCCAAUGAGCAAAUGUCUGUCAAUAAAAACAUGAUAAAAC